GGUGGACUGUUAGAUGCUCCUUGUGUGAAACGCUGUGAUCCUAAUGUCGCUGGUUCAACUCCAGCCGGAAGCACCUCCUUGUCAUUGGAAAUACCCCCAAGCCUUGUCUUUAUCUGUCAACUCCUCCAAAAUGUAAAAACUCAAACAAUAUAACUCUUUCUUAAAUUUUCAACCAUCAAUUUUUUAUUCACCCAGCCUAAAAGUCCUGAUUAUCAGUUCUGGGUCCCUGGCAAUGACUGUUGGGUACAAACUGCAAAGCUUUGUUCUGCAGGUAGGGCUGGGCUUUUCAUUGACCAUGGGUUGGAAUAGUUCUGUGGGCAUAGUGUGUCUUCGAAGCCACUAUGUUUUCUGCACUUUUGAGUAGAGAGCACCUUUAUAGUUCAGUUGGUAGAGCGGUGGACUGUAAGAUGCUCCUUGUGUGAAACGCUGUGAUCCUAAGGUUGCUGGUUCAACUCCAGCCGGAAGCACCUCCUUGUCAUUGGAAAUACCCCCAAGCCUUGUCUUUAUCUGUCAACUCCUCCAAAAUGUAAAAACACAAACAAGAUAACUCUUUCUUAAAUUUUCAACCAUCAAUUUUUUAUUCACCCAGCCUAAAAGUCCUGAUUAUCAGUUCUGGGUCCCUGGCAAUGACUGUUGGGUACAAACUGCAAAGCUUUGUUCGUCAGGUAGGGCUGGGCUUUUCAUUGACCAUGGGUUGGAAUAGUUCUGUGGGCAUAGUGUGUCUUCGAAGCCACUAUGUUUUCUGCACUUGUGACUAGAGAGCACCUUGAUAGCUCAGUUGUUAGAGCGGUGGACUGUAAGAUGCUCCUUGUGUGAAACGCUGUGAUCCUAAGGUCGCUGGUUCAACUCCAGCCGGAAGCACCUCCUUGUCAUUGGAAAUACCCCCAAGCCUUGUCUUUAUCUAUCAACUCCUCCAAAAUGUAAAAACACAAACAAGAUAAUUCUUUCUUAAAUUUUCAACCAUCAAUUUUUUAUUCACCCAG
rnacentral:lncRNA from 1 species